rnacentral:tRNA from 2 species
GCCCUCGUAGCUCAGGGGAUAGAGCGUCUGCCUCCGGAGCAGAAGGCCGCAGGUUCGAAUCCUGCCGAGGGCACC